rnacentral:misc_RNA from 1 species
GACAGUUUCAAAGUCAUCUCUUAAAUCAACUUUGACUUAAAACCAAUUUCCAUACUCAAUUGAAUGUAUUACAAUUAUGUCUCUUAUGAGUUAAUAAAAUAAUCAAAACCUAAACACAGGCAAAGAUUUGGAAAUAAUAACUGAAGGGUAGAACAGUACUAUGAGGCUGUUCAAAAUUCAAAUUAGAACUCUCAAUUCGAUCGAAAAAAAUAUAAAAUCACAGAUUAGGAUGUUAGCAUAGCAAACAAAAGUGUAGAUGAAGACAACCAAACAGUAAGAGGUUAGGAAAAAAGAAAAAGAAAAAAUUUUCCAUAAAAGGUAAAUUGAGACUAUAACUACAACAAUCUAGUAAUGGAUGUGAUAUCAAUAAAAAUAAAAAGUCCAUUUGCACAUAUUUAAGUUGCCAUCUUAAGUUGUUACUU